rnacentral:hammerhead_ribozyme from 1 species
CUCCAGCUGACGAGUCCCAAAUAGGACGAAACACGCGUCCUGAAU